rnacentral:rRNA from 1 species
GACGAACGCUGGCGGCGUGCUUAACACAUGCAAGUCGAACGGAAAGGCCUGCUUUCCCUUGUGGAUUGCGGGUACUCGAGUGGCGAACGGGUGAGUAACACGUGAGUGAUCUGCCCCCAACUUGGGUAUAAGCCUGGGAAACUGGGUCUAAUUCCCGAUAGGACUGCAGGGUGGUGCCUGUGGUGGAAAACGAUUUUCUAGUGGUUGGGGAUGAGCUCGCGGCCUAUCAGCUUGUUGGUGGGGUAAUGGCCUACCAAGGCGGCGACGGGUAACCGGCCUGAGAGGGUGGACGGCCACAUUGGGACUGAGAUACGGCCCAGACUCCUACGGGAGGCAGCAGUGGGGAAUAUUGCACAAUGGGCGGAAGCCUGAUGCAGCGACGCCGCGUGGGGGAUGACGGCCUUCGGGUUGGAAACUCCUUUCGACCGCGAGGAAGCCACCUGGUUGGAAGGGUGGUGACGGUAGUGGUAGAAGAAGCACCGGCUAACUACGU